ACAACAUCCUUGAGUGGUGGUGCAUCAGCUCGUCGGUAGAGCGAUGCAAGAGGGAAGUCCAGUGAGAAUCUGGUACAGUGCCCGCUACUGUGAUCCCCCUAUUUCACAGAGCCUAGCACAAGAUGAAUACAAGCCACUGUCUGACGGAGGUCAGGUGGGAAGGCGGUGUUAGGCUGGGGUAAGUCAGGAGACCUGCCACUACUCGUAACUUAGU
rnacentral:ncRNA from 2 species